rnacentral:rRNA from 1 species
GGAUUAGGCAUGCAAGUCGAACGGGGUUAUAUUCUUCGGAUUGUAACCUAGUGGCGAACGGCUGAGUAACACGUAAGUAACCUGCCCUGGAGUGGGAAAUAACCUGCCGAAAGGCGAGCUAAUGUCCCAUGUGAUAGCGAAGUUGAUGCUUUGUUAUUAAAGCCUUAGGGUGCUCCAAGAGGGGCUUGCGUCUGAUUAGCUAGUUGGUAGGGUAAUGGCCUACCAAGGCUGUGAUCGGUAGCUGGUCUGAGAGGAUGGUCAGCCAGAUGGGGACUGGGAUACGGCCCCAACUCCUACGGGAGGCAGCAGCAAGGAAUCUUGGGCAAUGAGCGAAAGCUUGACCCAGCGACACCGCGUGAGGGAUGAAGGCCUUCGGGUUGUAAACCUCUUUUCUUGGGGAAGAAUUCUGACGGUACCCGAGGAAUAAGCCUCGGCCAACUACGUGCCAGCAGCCGCGGUAAUACGUAGGAGGCGAACGUUAUUCGGAUUUACUGGGCGUAAAGGGAGCGUAGGCGGUUCCUUAAGUCAGAUGUGAAAUCUUCUGACUCAAUCAGAAGGGGUCAUUUGAUACUGAGGGACUUGAGAACAGCAGAGGGAAAUGGAAUCCCCAGUGUAGCGGUGAAAUGCGUAGAUAUUGGGGAGAACACCAGUGGCGAAGGCGAUUUUCCAGGUUGUUUCUGACGCUGAGGCUCGAAAGCGUGGGGAGCGAAGCGGAUUAGAUACCCGCGUAGUCCACGCCCUAAACGGUGGACACUAGACAUGGGAGGUAUCGACCCUUUCUGUGUCGAAGCUAACGCCUUAAGUGUCCCGCCUGGGGAGU